CGUCGAGGUCGCCCGCGAGGCGGCGACGUUGGCGGCGGUGUCGGGCGGCCGGUUCGAACUCGGCCUGGGCGCC
rnacentral:tRNA from 1 species